rnacentral:sRNA from 1 species
UAAAAACUAAAAAAAAAAAUUAACGAAAAUUUUCGAAAAAAAUUGCAAAAAAUUGGAAAAAAAAACAACAAAUUGGAGAAAUUAGCUAUACCCUAUCAUAGCCAUAUAUAAAAAAAAUCUGCAUAUAUAAAAAUUUUGAAAAAUUAAACGCAAUUGGUUAACAAGACAAAAAAAAAUUGGAAAUGUAUAUUUCUCACCGCCUCCCCCUCAUUGGAUGUUUAUUAACACAGCACAUAACGUUUUAACCAAAUUCGUACGAAUUCGUGACAGCAUGUAGCCCACAGAGAAAAAAGCAAAGGCAUCUACCAAACCCUUGAAAGGUCAUCAAGACAUGGAAGCCUAUUAAAAUGCCUUAAUCAUGGUUUAAUAAAAGAA